rnacentral:lncRNA from 1 species
CUUGUGCCACGGUGGCCCAAAUGUCAGUCAACCAGACAUGUCUUCUGAGAGUUCCCAGGAAUGUGGUGAAGAGCAACUGUAAGCGAUAAGAUUGUUCCCAGCGCUAAUAAAACUUUGGAGUUAAUUAACUGAGAAGAAGGUAAAAUGAAAUGUUGUUAUGAGGGCUAAAGUUGUUUUUCUACCUUUUUGAAAAUUAUUUUUUAUCUGUUGAAAUUAUAAUAUAAUUAUCAUCUCUCCUUCUUUUUGCUCCCCUCUCAGAAAUUAACAGCCUUGAGUUGCAGGUGGAAGGUGCAGAAGCCAAAUUAAAAACAGUCUUUUCAGGCUGAGCUCAGGAGCCUGAAUUUCCAUGCUGUAAGUGGCUGGGAUCCACUGGAGGAUUUUAAUUGUGUAAGUUGACAAGAUCAGAUUUGCUAUUCAGAAAGCACACCCUGGCACAGAUCGGUGGGUGGAAUAGAAAGUGGUUGCCCUGGAGACAGGCAGACCCAUUAGGAAGCUCUGACAAAGAUCCAGGAGAGAGAAAAUGAGGAUAGUGGUUGGAGGAAUGAGCAGAUUCAAAGACAUUUUAGAGGUGGAACGGAUGGUCGGGAGACGCUCAUUCAGUGUAAAUGCUGAAGGAAAGGAAGAACCAAGGAGCGCUGUGGUUUCCAGCUUGGAUUUCUAUAUGGAUAGUGAAUAAUUAAUGAAGAUGUGGCGGGCGGGCAUAAUGGGGACUUAAGAGGGAGGUAGUUGUAGAUGGACGUGAUCAAUAUACAUUUGUUUAAAUGUGUAUAACUUUCAAAGAGUAAGAGAAUUAUUAUUUUAAUAGAUCAAGGUAUAAAAUACAAAAAAAAGUCAAAUGGGGGGGGGGGUUUGCUAAUGAAUUCAUAUGUGACCUGUUGAAUUUGAUGUAUCUUUUGGACUUGUAGGUGAAGAAGUCACAUGUGGUGAAUAUAUUAUCAUCAGAAUGCGGAGCAAUGAAAUGUAAACAGAUAGGAAUCGUCACUAAAGCUCCAACUGCAGCCUCCGGGUGCCAUAGCUUUUGCACCAUCCAUUUGCACCAUCUCUGCAGUAAGUCCUAGCUCAAGCCUUACUCCAAAGUACAAAUUAGCAUAGCAGCUCAGUCAACAAUGCCUCCGAGCUUCUGGAAAGAAAGAUGCUCAGUCACCAUAGACCCAGAAUUAAUGAAAAGUCACAGAAAUAAUAGCUCCAUUCUCUACUUGCUUCUGAACCUCAAAUCAGUGGUUGGCAACAAGGAUGUCUGCAUCAUCUGUAUUGACCUGCUCCCCAGAUUAAUACCGAAGCACUGCAAUUUCUUGAGGAUUAUCCACCUAGGAGGAAAUGAUACGCUGGCCCAUCCAUAGUAGUCAAGAAACAGUCUGAGAUCCAAAAAGUGGCUUAAAAGAGGGAAAAGUUAAUCAAAAUGUCUGUGAAGCUCUGGCUUCAGUCUCUCCAGCGAGGCUUUCUGAAGCACAGCUCUGAUAGAACUAAACCCAAUGAGACACCGCCUACAAGAGGAAUCCAGCGUGUGAACGAAGACUAAAAAGCAAAACAGCAGCGUCUGGAGUGGACAGCUUCUCUCACUCAGAGAACUGUAGCCUCAAAUUCCUGGCAGAGGUUUCUUGGAAGAGAAGAAUGAGAUUGGAUCUGAGAAAAUGUGGCUGGUAAUGAACUCUACGAAGGGAUUUUUAUACUCUCUCUUUGGCAGUCCAUCCUGUGAAAUAAUAAUGAGGUUGGAGGAUGGCUGCUAACCAUCCCUUGCUUUUCCGUGCCAGGGAACCACCAUCUCAGAUGGUAGAAACCACUCAGAAGGAUCAACUGCUGCAGACGGGAAGAGGAGCAACCUCGUGAAUAAUUUCGUGACAGGAUAUUGCAGGAGGGACUUUGUCCAAAUGUGUGCAGGGUAGUUGGCUACAGCAACAAGGAUGACGAACACAGAUGAAUUGAUCAGGAUGUAACCAUUCAAAGUUGAGAGGAUUAGAGGACUUCUCCGAGGCGGCUCCAAUGGAUGCCAGCAGAGUUAAAGUGUCCAAUGGAGAGAAGAGAAGGCUUGGGAAAUCCAGAGUCCAUUCAUUCAUCGCCCUCCUCCUAGAACAACAAAAGCGAGCCCCAGUACUCAUCAGCAUGGACUCUGUGUGUAGUCAUCUCCCUUAGUUUCAGAGGUUCCUGCCUACAGCAAAACUUUAGAGGCUUAGAGUUUAACGGUCAUAGCUUAUUCACCUCCAACUGUGUCCUAGUUCAAGAGAAACACUUCACAUAUCUGUAGGGAGAAGAUAAUGAACCAAGGAUACAAGUUAAGCCUUAGCUAAGACCUGUUACUCAGGAAAAAGAGCUAAAACAAGCUGCUUAGAUCAGCACCAAUGUUAGGUAGAGAGAAAAAGAAACGCUGCAUAGAAAUCUUAAGGUUCACAUGUGCUCCAGGCUGGGUCAACAACUUCUAAUUUCCUUUGCCAACCAACCAUGUCUUUGACAGAAAUGAUCCUUCUACAUAGACCACAGAGGGAUCCAAUGGAGGUUUCUCUUCCUGAAUUUGGGGAUUCAGAAUCUGGACAAAUUCCUUUCCAUCAAAGUCCAGUACAAAAGUAGUACCAUGGCAGUCCCUGCAGGGACUUGCAUCACUUUCCCUAGAGAUAUCAAGAGAAUUUUUAGUGAUAAGAAUAUGGCACAAAAUGAGAAAUCCCAUUACUCUUAAGAGAAUCUCUUCCUUCUCAAAGGCACCUGAUUAAUACAUAUAGUACUAUCAGUAAGGCUGAGCAAAAGGAUACUGAUGUUCUGAGUGAUCUUAAAUCAUGUAAUAAUAACUUUAUUCGUAGUAUAGAACGGAAUAUUCCCUAUUAGUAAUCAGUUCCUUUGCCAGAUCCUCAUAGUAUCUUAGUCACUGUUUUAUUGUUAUGAAGAGAAACUUUGACCACAGCACCUCUUAGAAAAAAGGAAGCAUUUAAUCGGGACUUCCUUAUGGUUUCACAGUUUUACAUAAUUGUCAACAUGGCAGAGAACAUGGGGGCACGCAAACAGACAUGGUGCUGGAGAAGUAGCGGAGAAUAUACAGCAACAUAUAGAUACAAAAUAUAGAUACAUAUAGAUACAGAAUAUAGAUACAUAUAGCUACAUAUAGAUCUGCAGGCAGCAGGAAGAGACUGGGACAAGGCCAUACCUUCUAAGGCUUCUCAAGGAGUGUCACUUCCUGAUGACCAAGCAUUCAAGUGUAUGAGCUUAUGGGAGCCAUUCUUAUUCAAGCCACCACACAUAGCAAAGCUGAUAAUGUCAUUUUCUGAAUUAACCAGGCCAAGGCACACUUCUUAGCAACAUGGUUACCUGGUAACCAGAGAUUUUUCUCAUCCCAUGAGAGAUUUCAUUCAAGAACUGAUCUUCUAACAGUUUUGUCUCUCUUAAGAAUGCUACAGACAGGGUGGGGUGAGGCACAGUGCUGAAGCCCCUCAAGUUUCCCAGAGGGAUGAGUCCAUGAAAGACGAAAAUCAUGUGGUCACACUGAGCAUAGACUUCACAAGCAUCAUGCUAGGAUUCCAUUUUCUUUCUCAACACAAUGAUAAAUUCUUCUUCCAAUAAGCAGAAAAUCAUCCAAUGGGAAAAAAAAAUAAAACCAACUAACUUGCAGUCCUUUGGAACAGUUUCAUAGCUUACAGGAUGGCUUCAUAACCCUGGGGACACUCGUUUUGACAUGAAAACUUCCUUCAGAACAGGAAUUCUGAUCCAACAUGUGCUCAGACAUCAUUUCAGUCACUUGCAAAUGAACAAGAAAGCUCAUGUAAAUGAGGAGGCUCAACUCCCAGGCCUGGUGAGUGGGUAAGACAUUCCUCUGCUGGGUUUUGAAGGCUGUCUGAAACCAUCGGCUGACAUCCUUCUCUGUGUGCAUGUAUGCACUAUCUACGGGAAAUUCAGCUCCAACCGGUUGUCUCUACAGCUCCCUUAAUCUUCUCCUCCCUCCUCCUGGCAUUGGCAUGUGUCCCAGGACUGCAGCGAGGAGUGCUUACCAACAAAGGUGCUGGCAUCUGCAUUUGUUUCACAGCCACAAACCUAAUGGUUCCAUGAUUUUGGCGAGCAAAACUGUCAAAAUGCCUGAGCACAAGAGAUCACAAGAUGAGCCAAGGCAUAGUGUGCAUGCCUUCCUUCCCAGCACUCGGAAGGCAGAGGCAAGGGGAUCUCUGUGGGUUCAAGGCCAGCCUGAAUCACAAGGUGUACUGGGGAUUCUUUUUUAUUGUUUUCCUUUUGCUAUCUGGAAUAGUUUGAGAUUGUAUUUGAUCAGUGCAUUAAACAAC